AGAGCGAACGCUGGCGGCAGGCCUAACACAUGCAAGUCGAGCGCCCGUAGCAAUACGGGAGCGGCAGACGGGAUAGUAACACGUGGGAACGCGCCCUUCGGUUCGGAAUAACUCAGGGAAACUUGAGCUAAUACCGGAUACGCCCUUACGGGGAAAGAUUUAUUGCCGAAGGAACGGCCCGCGUCCGAUUAGCUAGUUGGUGAGGUAAUGGCUCACCAAGGCGACGAUCGGUAGCUGGUCUGAGAGGAUGACCAGCAUCACUGGGACUGAGACACGGCCCAGACUCCUACGGUAGGCAGCAGUGGGGAAUAUUGGACAAUGGGCGCAAGCCUGAUCCAGCCAUGCCGCGUGGAUGAUGAAGGCCUUAGGGUUGUAAAGUCCUUUUAACGGGGAAGAUAAUGACGGUACCCGUAGAAUAAGCCCGGCUAACUUCGCGCCAGCAGCCGC
rnacentral:rRNA from 1 species